rnacentral:rRNA from 1 species
AUUCGCGGCCCUAUCACGCUUUUUGUUGAGGUAGUGUCUCACCAAGGCGACGCGGGUAGCCGGCCUGAGAGGGUGACCGGCCACACUGGGACUGAGACACGGCCCAGACUCCUACGGGAGGCAGCAGUGGGGAAUAUUGCACAAUGGGCGCAAGCCUGAUGCAGCAACGCCGCGUGAGGGAUGACGGCCUUCGGGUUGUAAACCUCUUUUAGUAGGGAAGAAGCGCAAGUGACGGUACCUGCAGAAAAAGCACCGGCUAACUACGUGCCAGCAGCCGCGGUAAUACGUAGGGUGCAAGCGUUGUCCGGAAUUAUUGGGCGUAAAGAGCUCGUAGGCGGCUUGUCGCGUCUGCUGUGAAAACCCGAGGCUCAACCUCGGGCGUGCAGUGGGUACGGGCAAGCUAGAGUGCGGUAGGGGAGAUUGGAAUUCCUGGUGUAGCGGUGGAAUGCGCAGAUAUCAGGAGGAACACCGAUGGCGAAGGCAGAUCUCUGGGCCGUAACUGACGCUGAGGAGCGAAAGCAUGGGGAGCGAACAGGAUUAGAUACCCUGGUAGUCCAUGCCGUAAACGUUGGGAACUAGAUGUAGGGCCUGUUCCACGGGUUCUGUGUCGUAGCUAACGCAUUAAGUUCCCCGCCUGGGGGAGUACA